UACAUUACAAUCAGAUUGUAAUCCUCAAACAAGUAAAGUAUCUUUUUUAGUUUCCCUUUCGAUCUGGGCUGUCGUAGGAAGAAUUGAGCCGCAGUAAACUGGAGUUUUCUUUGAGGCUAUUUGCUUGUUAAUUGGGGUUGAAGAUGUUUCACCGGACAAACAAGCUGAUUUUCUUUCGGCAUUGCUUAAUCCCCUUUGCCAGCAGGUGGAGGUGUUGCUGCAAAAUGCCAAACUUCACGAUUCUGAAGAAUCUCCUGCAAAGAUUGCUAACAUUCAGCAAAUCAUCAUGGCGAUUAAUGCCCUGAGCAAGGUGCACUUUUG